UGCAGUCGAGCGAAUGGAUUAAGAGCUUGCUCUUAUGAAGUUAGCGGCGGACGGGUGAGUAACACGUGGGUAACCUGCCCAUAAGACUGGGAUAACUCCGGGAAACCGGGGCUAAUACCGGAUAACAUUUUGAACCGCAUGGUUCGAAAUUGAAAGGCGGCUUCGGCUGUCACUUAUGGAUGGACCCGCGUCGCAUUAGCUAGUUGGUGAGGUAACGGCUCACCAAGGCAACGAUGCGUAGCCGACCUGAGAGGGUGAUCGGCCACACUGGGACUGAGACACGGCCCAGACUCCUACGGGAGGCAGCAGUAGGGAAUCUUCCGCAAUGGACGAAAGUCUGACGGAGCAACGCCGCGUGAGUGAUGAAGGCUUUCGGGUCGUAAAACUCUGUUGUUAGGGAAGAACAAGUGCUAGUUGAAUAAGCUGGCACCUUGACGGUACCUAACCAGAAAGCCACGGCUAACUACGUGCCAGCAGCCGCGGUAAUACGUAGGUGGCAAGCGUUAUCCGGAAUUAUUGGGCGUAAAGCGCGCGCAGGUGGUUUCUUAAGUCUGAUGUGAAAGCCCACGGCUCAACCGUGGAGGGUCAUUGGAAACUGGGAGACUUGAGUGCAGAAGAGGAAAGUGGAAUUCCAUGUGUAGCGGUGAAAUGCGUAGAGAUAUGGAGGAACACCAGUGGCGAAGGCGACUUUCUGGUCUGUAACUGACACUGAGCGCGAAAGCGUGGGGAGCAAAACAGGAUUAGAUACCCUGGUAGUCACGCCGUAAACGAUGAGUGCU
rnacentral:rRNA from 1 species